AGAGUUUGAUCCUGGCUCAGGAUAAACGCUGGCGGCGUGCUUAAUACAUGCAAGUCGAACGAACAAGUCCUAGAGUGCUUGCACUCUAUGAUGCGUUAGUGGCGAACGGGUGAGUAAUACAUAAGAAACCUGCCCAUACGACUGGGAUAACGUUUGGAAACGAACGCUAAUACCGGAUAGGUAAUCGGAAGGCAUCUUCUGAUUAUUAAAGUUGAGAUACACGUUUGGAUGGUCUUAUGGCGCAUUAGCUAGUUGGUGAGGUAACGGCCCACCAAGGCGAUGAUGCGUAGCCGAACUGAGAGGUUGAACGGCCACAUUGGGACUGAGACACGGCCCAGACUCCUACGGGAGGCAGCAGUAAGGAAUUUUCGGCAAUGAGCGAAAGCUUGACCGAGCAACGCCGCGUGAGUGAUGAAGGUCCUCUGGAUUGUAAAACUCUGUUAUAUGGGAAGAAAAUGCGAAGAGUACUUCGUACUGACGGUACCAUGUCAGAAAGCCACGGCUAACUACGUGCCAGCAGCCGCGGUAAUACGUAGGUGGCAAGCGUUAUCCGGAUUUAUUGGGCGUAAAGGGUGCGCAGUCGGCAUAUUAAGUCUGAGUUGAAAGUGCGGAGCUUAACUCCGUAUUGGCUUGGAAACUGGUAAGCUAGAGUGCAGAAGAGGAUAGCGGAACUCCGUGUGUAGCGGUAAAAUGCUUAGAUAUAUGGAAGAACACCGGUGGCGAAGGCGGCUAUCUGGUCUGUAACUGACGAUGAGGCACGAAAGCGUGGGGAGCAAAUAGGAUUAGAUACCCUAGUAGUCCACGCUGUAAACGAUGAUUACUAGGUGUUGGGGCAACUCAGCGCCGCAGCUAACGCAAUAAGUAAUCCGCCUGGGGAGUAUGUACGCAAGUAUGAAACUCAAAGGAAUUGACGGGGGCCCGCACAAGCGGUGGAUUAUGUGGUUUAAUUCGAUGCAACGCGAAGAACCUUACCAAGUCUUGACAUCCCUGGCAAAGCUAUAGAGAUAUAGUGGAGGUUAUCCGGGUGACAGGUGGUGCAUGGUUGUCGUCAGCUCGUGUCGUGAGAUGUUGGGUUAAGUCCCGCAACGAGCGCAACUCUUGUCUUUAGUAGCCAGCAGUUCGGCUGGGCACUCUAGAGAGACUGCCAGGGAUAACCUGGAGGAAGGUGGGGAUGACGUCAAAUCAUCAUGCCCCUUAUGAUUUGGGCUACACACGUGCUACAAUGGCGUAAACAAAGGGAAGCAACCCUGUGAAGGCAAGCAAAUCCCAAAAAUAACGUCUCAGUUCGGAUUGUAGUCUGCAACUCGACUACAUGAAGCUGGAAUCGCUAGUAAUCGCGAAUCAGAAUGUCGCGGUGAAUACGUUCCCGGGUCUUGCACACACCGCCCGUCA
rnacentral:rRNA from 1 species